rnacentral:lncRNA from 1 species
GUCGAGCAGUUCCUCUGUUAUCCAUCUGUAGAUGGCAUAGGAGCAAGAAAGAAGUGAGUCCUUUUUCUACUUCACCAUAAUUCCUUUAAAUGCACAUCAAUGAAAUAGUAAAUAACAUAACUUCGAGAAAAAGGUUAGAAUAGCCCGCCCCACAUUUCGCAAGCACAUGUUAAGUAUCGAGAAUUAUACAAAAGUGGACAAUAUAUUAAAAAUGUUAGCUUCAUUUUCUUUCUUUCAUUUUCUUUCUUCCAUGCUACACAAGUUUAAGUUGUCAGGACUGCAACUUAUUUUCUAAGAGCCCUCGAAAUAUCACAGAUGGAACUGAGGGGCUGCACAGACAUCCCUACUGGUGCCACCAAGCAUGAUCAACAAACGUCAAGUGUUCAAGCCUCCAACUUGCAAAGAGGCAUGCCUGGGAACUUGUCCACCAUCAUAGUCAGAGAAGGAAAAGCAUAACACGACAAUAAUUUAAGCAAAAAGUAGAUUCUACUAGGAUUUUAUCAACAAAACUAACCUUCCAUACUAAUAUGCCUUUACUUCUCAAGUAUUGAGCUCUCAUGUCAACAGUGUUUAUCCAAGAAUCACAGACAAGUUGUACGCUGGGACCACCAUACACUUGAAUCAUUGUUUUAUAAGGUGGAGGUCCAAAUCUUGCCAGAUCAGGUUUGUAUAGUGCCCCAUAAAGAAUGGUCCCGUCCUUUGCCUCUACUUGAAUGACAUCUGGUGGCUGAAGUUGGAGCUUCUUAAAUCUUGGAAUGCUGAGCGGCUGCUCAAAAAGAGGCAUAAUCAAGCUUCCAUCAGACAAUGAGUGCAUAGUAACUUUGGGAGGUGAACCCAAGGAAUCAUAAAUAUCCACAAAUCUCUGCAUCUGAUGGUCAAGUACAACCACAUGUUUUCCCUUUCCAUGGGUCAAUCUAAAGGGAACCUGCAAGAGAUUACCUGCAUCUGAGUAUAAAUUGGCACGAUAAAGAUGACAUUCCAAAGGGCCGUCUAAAGUUCCAGUGAAAUAAACAAAGCCAGCAGCCUCGUUGACACCCACAACUUGCUCAACCAUCCAGUCACCUUGAGUUAUAGGACCCAAGCACUGUCCAUUUGAGUUGUGUAAAUAUAGAUGUCUGAAUCCUGUUUUCUCACUAGACCAAAUAAACCCUCCAGGAGAUCUAGUAUUCACUUUGUCUAAAGGGGUGAAGCAAUCAUGUAGAUUUAUCCAAGUUUCUUGUUCUUCUUCCAAGAUUACUUUUCUCUGGCCUGAUUUGAUAUCAAACUUUAGGAUCUCUAGUUUAGAAUGUGACCUGUUCAAAACCUGAGCAGUAAGAAUAUUCCCAUGCAUCCAACAGACUCUUGCCAAGUAUUCCUCAUUGUUUGCCUGGCCUCUUUCUCCACACAGAAGAUCCAUCCAAGUCACCGGACCUCCUGUAGCUGAAACAACACCCAAUCGAACUUUAACAUUUGGACCACCCACAAAAGGGUAAGAAUGAUCUUCCUGUGCCUCUGAACCAACAAAACUUUUCCCUUGGUGCAUGAUCCUAAAAGGAGGUAUCUCAGAAUAAUUCACCUCUGUAAAUGCAAUAAAUUUGCUGUCUAGAGACCACCAGUAGCCGUUUUUACGUUCCAUCUCCUCCUACAACCAGUAAACUUAAGUAUUCUCCAGCUAGAAAAUUUAUUAAGUUUAUUUUAUUGAGGAAAAGAAGUGGUUGUUUCAUAAAACAUUACAUGAAUGCAUAAAUUUGUAAUGAAAGAGAGUUUGAACUAUAACCUCACCUGGGCUAUGUACUCAGAGAGGCCAUGUGUCUGAAAAAAGAAAAAGAAAGAAAAAGUAUAAUCAGGUUUCCAAUCAAAAAAUAAAUGCACCGGCAUUCCAAUGUUCAAAAGUUUUCAGUCAAACAUGAAAAAAAUCCACAGAGGCAGGUACGAUCAUUUAAUAAAUUAAGUUAGGCGUGUUUCUAAGAUCAACAGAGACAGAGAUGUUCGUGCAAUUUAUGGGUAAACUGAAGUAUUGCUUUUCCUUUUAAGAUCCUAUUCUAGCAGCAUAUGCUCCCCUCUUGCACUUAUCCUUUUCCUCACCCUGCACUUCUUCAAUUCUACACAUUUUCUCUUAUUUGUCUUUUAUAACUGGUAAACGCUCCAUGAACGAUAUUUCUCCGAAGUUAAACAUAAUUCAUUUCAAAUCCCAGAUCAGGGUUCGUUUUCCAAAUUCAGAGGUAGUAUCAGUCGAUUCAAAGUUGAAACAUAAAAAUUUUAUAUGUUUUCUUUAUGAUAUUAAACAAAAUCACGUGAAGAAAUGGGAAAUCUGGAAUUAUAUAAAUCAAAUCAUCUCUCUUUGAGAAUCGGAUGUGUUCAGAGUUGUAAAGUUCAUCCAGAGACCUGUGUUCCAUUUAAAGUCGCAAAGAUGAAAAGAAAUGUAUCUCUGCGCUUUUAUUGAAAGAAGAAGGCCAACAUGCAGAUUCCGUUAUAGCAAAUAAGUAGCCUACACUAUAAAUCUUCAUAAUUUUUCAAACAUGAAAUAGACCAGCAUUUGAGACUAUAUAUCAAAUCAAAAGAUGACAUAUUUUUUUUAAAUUUUUUAUUUUUUGUGCUUCUGAGUGGACUGACAUGAAAAUAUUUGAACAUUAAGUAGAGAUUAUAGAACAGAUCUAUUGGAAAAGAAAAUAUAAAACGCAAUAAAUGAAUUACAAUAUGCAAAUUACACAACAGUAGCUUAUCUAACACACAAUGAACGGUAUGGAAAAUUGAAGCCAGUAAAGAAAUGGAACCUAAUGCUUACUAUCACGUUUCUAUUGGCACCAGAUGUCAACUGCUUUGACACGUUGUACAUAAGGUUUAACACGUGCAGCUCAUUAUCUCUCACAUAAGAAAGCAUGGUGCCAUCUGGGGAGACAUGUGGAUCAAUAAUUGGUGAGCAUGAGGCACUUGGGAGCUUAAGAUCUGACUCUAUGAAGAGAUCCUGAACAUAAAUCUGCCCACAUGCGAAACCAGCAAUAUGUUAUAUGAGAACAAAUAAAACAUAUUAGGUGUAUUUUAUCAAGCGACAUAAUUGAUAUACAAAACAUAUAAAGAUGUUCAAGCAAACAAAAAACUUAAAAUAAAGAAUUAUGGUACAUUGAUUUCUGUUAAAAAUGCUGAGAGAAUCUUUUCUCUAGUUUACAGCAAAAAAACUAGCUGAUGCUCAACCAUAAGAUAAGUGUUCAAGGUUUGCACCACAAAAGGUAGAGGUCUUUAAAUUGGGACUAUUCACUUCCAUGUAGAGUUUUUAAUUGAUGCUUCAACACAUCCACAAAAUUAGGGAUCAAGUGAAUGUAUACCCAUGAAUGAAUAUUACAAGGCUUCUCAUGGUGUAACGCCUAGUCAUGGCUCUUUGGAGAGCAAAUGGUCACAAGAAUCAAUUGAAUUUUACACGAAUUGGUUGAGCAUUUCUCCCUACAAGCAUAAUCAUUGGGACUUAGUUUCUACAGGAAAUUUCCCAGGAAAAGAUUAUCAAUGCAUGAGAAAUUAUUCACUGACCCUAAAAUAUUACAAAGAAGUUAAAAAAUAUAUUAAAAGAAAAGCUAGUAUGAAUAUAUUUCCAGGCAAUUACAAUAACGUUGGCAAGAUUAGUUCUUUUAAUAACAUAAUCAAAACCGUAUCCAAAUUAUGCCCAAAACACAAACUCAAUCAGUAUGCAAUUAAUCUUGCUCCAAUUUACCAAUAUCAUCACCAACUCUCUCAAGGUGACAUGUGACCAUUCGGCAAUAUAACAAAAACACCAUUCAAGAUAUUUAUCCAAUAAUAAGUUUGUUUACAUGUAUAACACGUGCAAUUAAUUUGAGCAAGUACACAAGUAUAUUAUAUUUUUGAAAUUGUCAAAUAAUGUAAGAUGUUAAGGAACGCACUCCUGCUGGUAGAGGCACCAUAAUUCUCUUUUUCCUUGGGCUUGUCUUCACCCAUUCGUAGCGUGUCACACCAAGCCCCCGCUCCCUUGAUCUCUCCCUCCUCAACUUUUCUUCAGCAGACAAAUUAUUCUCAUCAAGCCCACCAUUUGGAGGACUAAAAAACAAUUCAUGCUUCAUGCUAAUCGGAUCAAACACAAACACCUUCCUAUUCAAUGUCUGAUCAGGACUGAACAAGUAUGCUAUCAAACUACCAUCAAGGCUAAAGCUAAUUAAAGUUGGCACUCCAUAACCAGGUAAAGGGUGUUGCACUAUCUCUUCAACAGGGAAUACAGUGCAAUUGUCUAGAGCAUUUGCAGGAGUUGUGUCAGCUGCAGGCAUAUCGUGGCGAAGUGAUCUCGAACGUUUCAAAUUCUUCUUCUUAUUACUUGUAUUAGGGGAUUGCAUUACCAAUUUAUUGACUAAAAAUUUAAUAGUUUGUGCAUCAGUGCAAGCAUACCCGACACCCUGAAAGGACAGGAAAUAACAAAUCAAUCGAGCAAAUUAUAAAAUUUUAAACCAACUAAAAAUUAAGGAAAAAAAUUUACUAUUGAAUUGCUCCCCUCAAUAAAUUUGUUUUUCCAAUAAAAGUUAAAAUUGAAUUCGUGCAAUAAGAAGAAAUUUGAUAAAUUCUAAAUGCAAAACAAAAAAUAGGCAUUAUUAAAUUAAGCACUCUAUUAAUCAAAUAAUGGGCCACAGAAAAAAAAUGUUGAAGCGGUGAACCGUCAGAAUUAAAAAGUGCAAGAGAUAAGAAAGUUCAUUUCGACUUAAUCAUGCUCAGUUUUACAAUUUUGAUUGAAGUGAAGCUACUUUCUUGAGCUUCUUUUUUCCUUUCUAUUCCUACUUUCCGCAAUAGAAAAGGCGUAAAAGAAACAAACUUUCUCUUUUUAUUUCUGCAGAAAAUAAACAGUAGCAGCCAAGAAAGUGAAAAAGGAUUCAAGAAUUAUUCAGUAAGAAAUCCCUUGGAAAUUGAAAAUAAACGCGAACUUGAUUUAAUAAAUACUCAUUAAUUAAUUAACUAUGGAAUAACGGUCGUGAUAAUAAAGUAAAUUAGGAUCGGAAUCGGACCUGUAAUUGGUAAACGAAAAACCAAUGCAGAAGAUCAAGAUUCGGAUACAAUUCCUUUCCAAUUGAAAUUUUCUCAAAGUUUCAGGAAAAUUGAAAAUUUGAAUCAGAUUAUCAAAGAAUCGAUUCCAGAAUUUGGAGUAUAACGAAAUAUUUGAGCAUAAAAGUGAAUAAAAAGUGGAAAAAAGAGAGGCUUUUUUCCUUAGCGGAGUGAAAGUGAGAAAAAGAACUUGUGUUGUAGAAAGUGAGCGCGUGGGGUUAAAGUCUGAUUCAGAUAAGUGGGCACCACACCAACCAGAUUAAGCAAGUGCUGGAUGGGCUGGUUGGGCUUCAUUAAUUUUAAACCCAGGAAUUUAGUCAAUGUUUUGAUCAUAUUUAGCUUAAAUUUCUCAUUAUGAAUCAAUUAUUGAUAUGUAAUUAUUGUUGUUGCUCCAUGAAGAGUGGACAUCACUGAGCCCAUCGGCUAAGGGUGAAAUGUUGAAUAAGUUAUAACUUUCAAGUCCAAUAUAACGAAUAUGAUAAAGGAAUGAGUCAGUUAACAAUUAGAGCUUUCACAAGUCAAGCAAAAGUCAAAUAAAUUAGACUAUAAAACCAAUAUACGCGUGAGACUUGAUUAUGGAUACAAGACGUGCGUGCUUACAAGUUGAACAAAUUGCUCGAACAUCACAGACUAAACACAACAUGGCCAUUGCGAUUAUCAAAAAGAAAGAUGGUAAAACAUUAGGUAAUAUAGAACACCUACUAUUAUCAUAACGGUGAAAACACAUCAAAUUAUGUUCAUAUGGAGUGUUCACGGUCUCUAAAGAAGGUAGCAUGAAUAUUAGGACAAUAAGGUUAGUUCUAUUUGUUAUAAAAGGGAACUUGAAGACAAUGCAAUGGUGACCCUAACAAUAGGCUUAGUAGACAAUCGCGCUAAGACCUCACUUUUAUGAAGCUCUAAAAAGUUACAUAUAGUUCAUAAAAAUUACAAACAAAAUAAAGUCUAAAUGCAAUCAACUAUCCAAUUAACAAAUAUACUAAUUUUUAAUUAAAAUAUAAACAUUUCAAUCUUUAUUUGUACAAGUAUUUAAAGCUUAAUUAUGUAGAACACUUGGUAGGAAGAUGCAAUGAUCUUAAGUCAUUUAGAGAUAUUAAAGUUUUAUCUUUUUUGAAAUUAUAAAUUUUGAGUUUUUGUUUGACAUGAUUAUAUGGUACAAUAUAUAUUAAUUAUUAAUAGAGUAAGUGAAAAUUUGUAAAGUGGGGAUACGUCUAUUGGUGUUGUUGAAAUGAAUUAUUUUAUUUUUUGAAAUAUAUCGAGAAACUGAAUUUGCAUCCGAUAAAUUCAUAUAAAGAAGCACUUCGAUGAAAAUUUCAAUGAUGAGAUAACACAUUCACUUGAAGAAUUUUAGAGUUUGUGAUUUCUUAUAUAUGUUGAUCAAGCUCUUUCUUCACUCAAGGUUCGAACAAUUUCAAAAAGUAUGAAAAUAUGUUUGAAUUUUUAUUUGACUCUAAAAAGAUUAAAGACUGAAAAAUGUGACAAGUCUGAAGAAUUUUGGAAGUAGAAUAGAAAUUCUGAUAUUAUAGACGAGAGUUAUUUUUUGAGCAGUAAACUUAAGAAAUUGUUUGUUAGAAGCUAUCAAAAAGACGAAUGAAGUGCUUGAUAUAUUAAAAUUAUGGACUGUUAUUUUUUAAAUGUGUGAAUUGUUUAUAGAAUAUUAUUGACUAUAUUCUUUACAAUUGCAUUUGUCAAGAAUAGCUUCUAGAAGUGAAGUUGAUAAAAUUCUAGAUUUGGUUAACGAUGUCAUAAGAAAUGUUGAAUGGAUUGGUCAUGUUGUCUAUUUUAAAAAGGUUCUAAAAUAGUUCAAUUGUAAUGGUAUAAUUGUUGAUUUUCUAUUAUGAAAAUUUGGAUAUUUGAAAGUUUUAUAUUAUUAUUUUUAUAAUUUUGAAUAUUUUUAUUCAAUAAAAAAUAUUAUUUAUUACUAUUAUAUAUAUUUUUAAAAUAUUUAUAGAUCCCAUAUUUGAAGUUGGCAUAAGAUCCCAAAAGUCUGAGGAUCAGUCCUACGAUAAAGAUGUAUUUUUAAAGUGAAAAGAUGGUAUACAGUUUCAUCACGAACAAAGGCUUGUCAACGUCCAAAUUGCCUAAAAAGACCAUGAUUUGUUAGUCUACUUGUUUGCUCCAAGUUUUAGAAUGACUAAACAUGCAUGUGAAUUGGAUUGAGGUUGGAGUACAUUAUGGUGGUCAUGACUGGAAAGAGAAGAUGAACCUAGAAGGACUUAGAUGCAGGAUGUAACUCAAGGAGUAGCGAGAUGAAACGUCAUAUGAAGAAAACUAAAAGGUUGUAAUGACAUUAUUUUUUUUGCAAAAAGAAGAGAAGACGAUGGGAAGGAUUUUUUUUUCUCAUUUAACAUUUUUUAUAUUAUUUUAUCUCUUAUUUUAGGAGUGGAUGUAUGGUGUUCAAUCUCACAAUCUGGUUAUUUCAAGAACCAGGACUACUCAUCAAACUUUUGGUAUAUUGCAAAUUGAACCAUUCGGUUCCAUGUAAUUUUUGGAACCGAUUAGAAACAAGUAGUUCGAUUAAAAAUGACCUCCCCUGAUGAGCCUCGGGUGGUUUCUCUAGGCAUUUCAAGAAUCCAAACCAUUUAAUUUUCAUGUAGAUUUUGAAAUCAAUCUCAAUAAAUGCUCACCCCUGCUUAUUUGUUAGCUAUUUCUAUAUUUCAUUUUAUUUGGUUUCCAAUGCUCCUAAAAACUACUUUAAAACAAAGAAAUUGAAAUUUUUAAUGGCACUUAUUUAUGACCACUAUAAAAAAAGGUCUAACCCGUCACAAAAUUUAAAGUUGAGGACCUAUGUAUGAAAAAAUUAAAAUGAGAUCCUAAAUUGACAUUCAAUAAUAGUUGGGGUCAAAAGUGCAAUUAUCCCAAUGGAUAAGUGGAUAAGAAGAAGAAAGUCCAGUGACCACCAAACGCUGGGAGCGAAGCGUGGAUUACAUGUCAAUGUCUACUAAAUGAUCAGUGGAGUGCUUUAAAUUUAUAGAAAUAAGAAUGUAAAAAAAUUACAGCAUUUUAUUGUCAUUAUUUUUUCAUGAAAAAUAUAUUUUUAUCCAAAAUACUACUUUUGUGCUGUUUGAAUAUUUUUCUACUUUUAAUUAUAUGACUAUAUUUUUCUCAAAAUCAAGAUAAAUAUUUUCUUUAUAGGGGGUAGGAUUCUAUUUUCCAGGAAAUUCACUCUUCCUCAUCUAUUCAUAAUCUCUCAUCUACCUAACAAUAAAAAUCGAACAAGUAUGAUAUUUUUCAAAUUAAAAAUUAAAUCAAUCAAAUGCAUUUAAUUAAUAAUUUCCAUGUAAAUAAGUUUUAGACAAUUGAAUUACCUAAAAUUUAUUUUCUUUCCUUACAAAUUUGAUUCUUUCAAUUGCAAAAAUGAUAUUUGGGUGGAACAAAAAAAAAAGAAUUUCAAGGAAUUGAAUUGUCUAGAAAAUAUUUUCUUGGGAAUUGUAAAUUAUUGUGUUUGAUUAUUAUAAUUUUUCACGUGAAAAGUAUUGAAAAAAAAGUGUUUUUCUGUUCGUUUGACUAGGAUUUUAUCAACAAAACUAACCUUCCAUACUAAUAUGCCUUUACUUCUCAAGUAUUGAGCUCUCAUGUCAACAGUGUUUAUCCAAGAAUCACAGACAAGUUGUACGCUGGGACCACCAUACACUUGAAUCAUUGUUUUAUAAGGUGGAGGUCCAAAUCUUGCCAGAUCAGGUUUGUAUAGUGCCCCAUAAAGAAUGGUCCCGUCCUUUGCCUCUACUUGAAUGACAUCUGGUGGCUGAAGUUGGAGCUUCUUAAAUCUUGGAAUGCUGAGCGGCUGCUCAAAAAGAGGCAUAAUCAAGCUUCCAUCAGACAAUGAGU